rfam:Lepisosteus oculatus linkage group LG1, whole genome shotgun sequence.
CCAGCAACCCCUGUGGGCUGAGGUGUCCUACAGAAAAGCCUUGGGUUUCCUCGCAGGGUUCUGG